AGAGUUUGAUCAUGGCUCAGAACGAACGCUGGCGGCAUGCCUAACACAUGCAAGUCGAACGCGUGGAGCAAUCCACGAGUGGCGCACGGGUGAGUAACGCGUGGGAACCUGCCCCGGGGUGGGGGAUAACCGAGGGAAACUUCGGCUAAUACCGCAUACGUCCUGAGGGAGAAAGAUUUAUCGCCCUGGGAGGGGCCCGCGUCGGAUUAGGUAGUUGGUGGGGUAACGGCCUACCAAGCCUGCGAUCCGUAGCUGGUCUGAGAGGAUGAUCAGCCACACUGGGACUGAGACACGGCCCAGACUCCUACGGGAGGCAGCAGUGGGGAAUAUUGGACAAUGGGGGCAACCCUGAUCCAGCAAUGCCGCGUGGGUGAUGAAGGCCUUAGGGUUGUAAAGCCCUUUUGGCGGGGACGAUGAUGACGGUACCCGCAGAAGAAGCCCCGGCUAACUUCGUGCCAGCAGCCGCGGUAAUACGAAGGGGGCUAGCGUUGUUCGGAAUUACUGGGCGUAAAGGGCGCGCAGGCGGCUAGGGAAGUUGGGCGUGAAAGCCCCGGGCUCAACCUGGGAACUGCGCUCGAUACUCCCUUGGCUAGAGUUCGGGAGAGGAGGGUGGAAUUCCCAGUGUAGAGGUGAAAUUCGUAGAUAUUGGGAAGAACACCGGUGGCGAAGGCGGCUCUCUGGACCGAUACUGACGCUGAGGCGCGAAAGCGUGGGGAGCAAACAGGAUUAGAUACCCUAGUAGUCC
rnacentral:rRNA from 1 species